GAAAGGAGAAAGGGGGGAACCCUAAUUGCAUCAAUCAACCUCAAAAUUCAGCAAGAUUGUGAAGGAUUAGAGUCAUAAAUCGCAUGCUAGUGUCUAAAUACUCUCUAAUCCAAGUGUUUUGAACAUAAGGAUCGAAAGAAGAAGGAGCUAGUUCCGGAUCACAAACAAAGGCACAAGAUCGAGAUGACGGACACAAGUAAUGUAGAUGAUGCUGAAAUAGCCCGUCAAGAGGCAAUCAAUAAUAAGAUGAUAGAAGCGGCAGAAAAAGUGAUGAAUGCCAACCUUCCCAAGUUAGCUCAAGAAGUCGAGAGCCGAGU